rnacentral:piRNA from 1 species
UGCACUGCUUUAUCAACACCA